GUGCCCGUGAGGACGAAGCCAGCCAGGCUGCUCUGAGUCACUUCACACCCCUUAAGCUGAUCAGGGGGUUACCCCCACACAUGGAAAGCCUCUCCGUUAUCCAGAGUCGAUUUCUGUUGGCUUGUCAACCAGUCCUAUCUCCUGUGUGCGGAAAGCCCCCAGACGAGCACCUAUGAGAGAAAUACCAAACCACGCCACCUGGUCUCUCGGGCAGCAUAUUCUCCCCACCUGCAGGACAAGCUCUGCAAGCUGAAAGCCUGCCACUGGUGACUGGGAAGAAGCAGGCACAACUGCAAAGGCAGAGCAGCCAGAACUUUCUCCUCCUGCAGCAAACAAACCGUCACUUGGGAUCUGACCGCCUUCUCUCUGCCUGGCAUUUGUCUAGGCAAGGGGUUGACAAGCCUGCAGGCCAAAGACGCCCACUUAAAUGGUUGGGGAAAAAAACAAUCCCAAGAAGAAAAUCUCACAACGUGGGAAAAUGGCAUGAGAUCCAAAUUUCGGUGUCCAGAGAUAAAGGUCAUAAGGAACAUGGCGGUGCCCAUUCAUUCGGGCGUUCUCGUGCGCGGCAGCUCUGGGGUUCCGCCAGGAGGGCCGAGUCAUUUUGAAAGAGACUGUAUGGACUGUGCAGCCGAAAGUAUUUUCUAUCUAGCCCCGCAUGGAAAGAGUUUGCCAACCCCUGGCUGAAACGCUAGAGGGAGAUUAAAACAAAGAAGGAGCAGAGAUCCGCUGUGCACACCGCAGGAAAGGAGCUGCGAAAGCAGGGAGUUCACUGGACCUGCCACCAAGGCAAGGUAGGAGCACGCUUAAGCAGACAAGAAGAAAGGAGGGUGGCACGGCACCAAGAAGGGAGUCACAACAAUAUCGACAACAGUAAUAAUAACAGUUGCUAUGC